rnacentral:rRNA from 1 species
UACGGAGGUCCCAAGCGUUGUUCGGAUUCACUGGGCGUAAAGGGUGUGUAGGAGGUCAGGCAAGUCUGGCGUGAAAUACCGGGAUUCAAUGUCGGAAGAGCGCUGGAUACUGCCUGGCUUGAGUGCAGGAGAGGAGAACGGAAUUCCUGGUGUAGCAGUGAAAUGCGCAGAUAUCAGGAGGAACACCGAAGGCGAAAGCAGUUCUCUGGAAGGUUACUGACUCUGAAACACGAAGGCCAGGGGAGCAAACGGG